CCUACGGGUGGCAGCAGUGAGGAAUAUUCGUCAAUGAGCUUACGCCUGAACCAGCCACGUCGCGUGCGCGAAGACUGCCCUAUGGUUUGUAAACCUCUUUUGUCAGGGAGCAACGCCGCCUACGUGUAGCCGGGCUGAGAGUACCUGAAUAAACAGCAUCGGCUAACUCCGUACCAGCAGCCGCGGUAAUACGGAGGAUGCGAGCGUUAUCGGGAUUUAUUGGGUUUAAAGGGUGCGUAGGCGGAAUGCCAAGUCAGCGGUAAAAUCGCGGGGCUCAACCUCGCUCCGCCGUUGAUACUGGCGUACUAGAGUGGGCUAGAAGUAUGCGGAAUGCGAGGUGUAGCGGUGAAAUGCAUAGAUA
rnacentral:rRNA from 1 species